GCAGUCGCCGCGGGAAUACGAAGGGUGCAAGCGUUACUCGGAAUUACUGGGCGUAAAGCGUGCGUAGGCGGUUGGUUAAGUCUGCUGUGAAAGCCCUGGGCUCAACCUGGGAGCUGCAGUGGAAACUGGCCAGCUAGAGUGUGUCAGAGGAUGGUGGAAUUCCCGGUGUAGCGGUGAAAUGCGUAGAGAUCAGGAGGAACACCGAUGGCGAAGGCAGCCCCCUGGGCCAACACUGACGCUCAUGCACGAAAGCGUGGGGAGCAAACAGGAUUAGAUACCCCUGUAGUCCCUGUCUCUUAUAC
rnacentral:rRNA from 1 species